rnacentral:rRNA from 1 species
GACGAACGCUGGCGGCGUGCUUAACACAUGCCAGUCGAACGGAAAGGCCCUGCUUUUGUGGGGUGCUCGAGUGGCGAACGGGUGAGUAACACGUGAGUAACCUGCCCUUGACUUUGGGAUAACUUCAGGAAACUGGGGCUAAUACCGGAUAGGAGCUCCUGCUGCAUGGUGGGGGUUGGAAAGUUUCGGCGGUUGGGGAUGGACUCGCGGCUUAUCAGCUUGUUGGUGGGGUAGUGGCUUACCAAGGCUUUGACGGGUAGCCGGCCUGAGAGGGUGACCGGCCACAUUGGGACUGAGGUACGGCCCAGACUCCUACGGGAGGCAGCAGUGGGGAAUAUUGCACAAUGAGCGGAAGCCUGAUGCAGCAACGCCGCGUGCGGGAUGACGGCCUUCGGGUUGUAAACCGCUUUCGCCUGUGACGAAGCGUGAGUGACGGUAAUGGGUAAAGAAGCACCGGCUAACUACGUG